rnacentral:rRNA from 1 species
ACUUUCAAUAAAAAAAAAAUGUAAAAAAACAAAGCCUGAUCUCAUCUGACCUCGGAAGCAAAGUCGGGCCUGGUUAGUACUUGGUUGGGAGACUGACUGGGAAUACUAGGUGCUGUAAGCU